UGAGGAAUUUUGCGCAAUGGGCGAAAGCCUGACGCAGCGACGCCGCGUGGAGGAAGACGGUUUUCGGAUUGUAAACCUCUGUCUUCGGUGAAGAAAAAAAUGACGGUAGCCGAGGAGGAAGCCACGGCUAACUACGUGCCAGCAGCCGCGGUAAUACGUAGGUGGCGAGCGUUGUCCGGAAUUACUGGGUGUGAAGGGAACGCAGGCGGGGAGACAAUUAAGCUGUGAAAACUAUGGGCUUAACCCAUAAACUGCAGUUGAAACUGUCUAGCUUGAGUAAGGGAGAGGAAAGUGGAAUUCCUGGUGUAGAGGUGAAAUUCGUAGAUAUCAGGAGUAACACCGGUGGCGAAGGCGACUUUCUGGCCCUAUACUGACGCUGAGACGCGAAAGCGUGGGUAGCAAACA
rnacentral:rRNA from 1 species